UCCGAGAGCUCCAGGUUAACCCACUUCCACCCUCGGAGAGAUGGACAUGACACUCUCCUUGGCCACUAAAGCUACAGAGGACUUAUCCCCUACCCCCUUUCCAGAUGUGGAUUCCUCUUCUGCUGCUUAUUGUGAGGUCCAAACAUCAGGCUUCCAGAGCAACCUCCAACCCUAUCUCUGGCUAUACACACUCGAAUUGUAACUGAAGUACUCCUUUUGAAGGCAAAAAUAAUUAUCUGUCUCAAAACAGUUCCCUAAUAUGAAGAAUGUAAAAGUGUACCUUCCAAAGUAUUAACUGGAAGCUUUUAACAAGAUGCAGCUGAGCGUGUCAAUAUCUUAUAUCUUUUUACUGCUGUAUGGGGUGUACAUCAACUUGAAACUCAUCUCUACUUCAGCUGAACACUGGCAUCUCUUAGAAACAGUGCUCCCAGCGGCAACUUUACUUGCCUCCCUACAACUGGCCAGUGGUACCCUCAGAAAGAUUUCAGGGUAACCUCCCACUGGAAGCAAGGAGGAGUUACACUUGACCUUCCCCACUGCCUAAUGGAAUUAAUGAAAUGCAAGA